GCCUCGGUAGCGCAGUAGGCAGCGCGUCAGUCUCAUAAUCUGAAGGUCAUGAGUUCGAACCUCACCCGGGGCA
rnacentral:tRNA from 1 species